GAAUAUUGGACAAUGGGCGAAAGCCUGAUUCAGCCAUGCCGCGUGUGUGAAGAAGGUCUGCGGAUUGUAAAGCACUUUCUGUUGGGAGGAAGGGCAGAAAGCGACUACAUUGCUGUUUUGAUGUUACCGACAGAAUAAGCACCGGCUAACUUUGUCCCAGCAGCCGCGGUAAUACCGAGGGUGCAAGCGUUAAUCGGAAUUACUGGGGGUACAGCGCGCGUAGGUGGUUCGUUAAGUUGGAAGUGAAAUCCCCGGGCUCAACCUGGGAACUGCAUCCAAAACUGGCGAGCUAGAGUAGGGCAGAGGGUGGUGGAAUUACCUGUGUAGCGGUGAAAUGCGUAGAUAUAGGAAGGAACACCAGUGGCGAGGGCGACCACCUGGGCUCAUACUGACACUGAGGUGCGAAAGCGUGGGGAGCAAACA
rnacentral:rRNA from 1 species